CCUUGCAGUCUCUGCAGUCGCAGCAAUAGUGACUAAUACUAUAAAAUUUGGAUGUUCAAAAUCAAGUCAAACCAAUGUAGAGGCUGCGGAGAUGCAACCAAUCAGAGUGACUGAUGCAAACAGUGGAGCUCCAUCUGAGGAGCCCUGCUUAACGGAAGAGAUCUCCAACAGAACUGCAUGAGAAUACAGGAGGAACAUUUAGUUCACAGUAGCCUAGUAUAUGGCACGCAGCAAUCUCUGAACCACCUUCCAGGCCUUCUUUUAAAUCCUGAAAAGCGAUCGAUUUGUGGGUUUGUUGU